GAUGAACGCUGGCGGCGUGCCUAAUACAUGCAAGUCGAGCGAGAAGCUUGGAAAUGACGCUUCGGUUGAUUUUCCAAGCGGACAGCGGCGGACGGGUGAGUAACGCGUAGGCAACCUGCCCCUGACAGAGGGAUAGCCAUUGGAAACGAUGAUUAAAACCUCAUGACACCGUAGUAGCACAUGCUACAUCGGUCAAAGAUUUAUCGGUCAGGGAUGGGCCUGCGUCUGAUUAACUGGUUGGUGAGGUAACGGCUCACCAAGGUGACGAUCAGUAGCCGACCUGAGAGGGUGAUCGGCCACAUUGGAACUGAGACACGGUCCAAACUUCUACGGAAGGCAGCAGUAGGGAAUCUUGCACAGUGGGCGAAAGCCUGAUGCAGCAACGCCGCGUGAAGGAUGAAGGCUUUCGGGUUGUAAACUUCUGUUCUAAGGGAAGAAAGAAAUGACGGUACCUUAGGAGCAAGCCCCGGCUAACUACGUGCCAGCAGCCGCGGUAAUACGUAGGGGGCAAGCGUUAUCCGGAAUUAUUGGGCGUAAAGAGUGCGUAGGUGGUUACCUAAGCGCAAGGUUUAAAUUAGAGGCUCAACCUCUACAUGCCUUGCGAACUGGGCUACUUGAGUGCAGGAGGGGAAAGCGGAAUUCCUAGUGUAGCGGUGAAAUGCGUAGAUAUUAGGAAGAACACCGGUGGCGAAGGCGACUUUCUAGACGAAAACUGACGCUGAGGCGCGAAAGCGUGGGGAGCAAACAGG
rnacentral:rRNA from 1 species